rnacentral:rRNA from 1 species
ACACGACUACAUUAGAUACCCGUGUAGUCCUAGCCGUAAACGAUACUCGCUAGGUGUCGGCCACGGUGCGACCGUUGUCGGUGCCGUAGGGAAGCCGUGAAGCGAGCCACCUGGGAAGUACGGCCGCAAGGCUGAAACUUAAAGGAAUUGGCGGGGGAGCACCACAACGGGUGGAGCUUGCGGUUUAACUGGAUUCAACGCCGGAAAUCUUACCGGGACCGACAGCAACAUGAAGGCCAGGCUGAAGGCUUUGCCGGAUUAGCUG